ensembl:miRNA mdo-mir-7368 mdo-mir-7368
AGUAGGAGAAGGGCUGUGGAUCUGUAACUGAGGUGGUCACCAGCUCACCUUCUGCCUA